UUCGCAAUGCCCGAAAGGGUGACGAAGCGACGCCGCGUGGGUGAAGAAGGCCUUCGGGUUGUAAAGCCCUGUCAGGAGUUAUGAAAUGUAAGUGCGCUAAUAUCGUGCUUAUUUGACAAAGGCUCCAAAGGAAGCCACGGCUAACUCUGUGCCAGCAGCCGCGGUAAUACAGAGGUGGCGAGCGUUGUUCGGAAUUAUUGGGCGUGAAGAGCACGUAGGUGGGUUUGUAAGUCAGAUGUGAAAGCCUUCUGUUCAACGGAAGAAUUGCAUCUGAAACUGCGAAUCUUGAGUAUAGGAGGGGAGAAUGGAACUUCUGGUGGAGCGGUGAAAUGCGUAGAUAUCAGAAGGAACGCCGGCGGCGAAAGCGAUUCUCUGGCCUAUUACUGACACUCAGUGUGCGAAAGCUAGGGGAGCAAACGGGAUUAGAUACCCCGGUAGUCCUAGCCGUAAACGAUGGGCACUAAGUAGAGGGGUUUU
rnacentral:rRNA from 1 species